ACCCGACCGAACAAAACCCGACCCGAGAUUCGGAUCAGGUCUCCUUCCGGAUCGGAUAAUUAGAGAAAAAUCGGACAUUGUGGACCAUUCGGUUCCGAAACACGCCAAAAAAAUCUGACCCGAGAUUCGGAUCAGGUCUCCCUCCCAGCGUCUUCAAGGUUCGAUCUCUGAUUCCCUCUUCCUCUUUUUUGCGAUUUUCGUCAGUUGAGCAUCAAGCACGCUCAGAGAUAAAAGUUCAAAGCGUCUUCAAAGACUCCAUAUAAUUCGAUUUUUUACCUGUUUGAACGUUUAAAUUUGCCACGUCAGAUGGAUGGUGCUGCCUUUCGUGUGCCUAAGUUGUAGGUAGGAUUGUGUAGACAUCGAAAUGCUCAUAGUGUUCAUUAGUUGUGUUCCAUGCAAUAUUCGAUUGGCAGAGGAAAGGUGCGUGAAAUCAUGAACAGGGGCGUGGUGUAAGAGAACCCCUUCUCUUGGUGGCAACACCCGGAGAUAUAAGGUUUCUGCAUUAUAUGAGGAGAGUGAUGUAUAUAAUCUCCUUUAGCUUCUUUGCUUUGGGAACUUCCUUAUUUGAUUGCCGACCGGACAAAUUUCGGGUGGUUUUUGGCAACCGCUUUUAAUCGCUAUUUUGCUUUGUUCUCCAAGUUGAAUGUUGGGUACGGGAGGAUUGAGAGUUUCAAGAACUUUCGAGGGUGCUUCAUGAUCUCUUCAGCUGUGUUAGGUUAUCUGCGUCUUCCAGGGAAACUAGAGCUGAGAAAAGCAUUUCGUCCUUAUGUAUAAACUUUCAAAUCGGGCAUCAUGCGUUCGUUGUUCUCCUUCUGAGCUCGUUUGAGUCAUUUCUAAGAUGUUGAUGAAUUGCGGGGUUUGAAUUUUUGCACGACAAGUUUGGGGGUGCGUGCAUAGGGUGAAAUCGUGUCGUGUAGAUGCUUGAGUUCUUGCCCAGGGAAAUGUGUCCGUACUUGGCGUUUACUAGUUCUUGAAUUUAUUCAAGGUUUCAAGUGUCAUAGAUAGAAAGGAUUGCAAAAUGUCUACGAUGAGGGAUCUUAGUGCCACAAAUAGAAGGAGGAGAUCCACUGUGUGGGAUCACUCUGAAAGGAUUUCUUGUGCAAACAAGAGCAUUAGAGGUUGUGCCCGUCUCGACUAUAGCAUCAGAGGCCGCUAUCAGCAUAGGAGGUUGCGUGCUUGACGUGUUUUGUUGUUCCUUGACCCCAAGUAUGAUGGAGGCUCUUAUAUGUGCUCAAAAUUUUUGAGCUCUUCUAUAAGAGUUGUCAACUAUGACCCUGGAGCCCAAAUCAAUAAUGGUUUCUCUUGAUGAUUGACGAAGUUGGAGCCUUUUAAACCAAAUUUUUAUUUUUAUUGCAUAUUCACUUCUUCAUAUUUUGUAUUAGGUGUUUAGUGAUUGUUAUCUUCUUCAUUUCCUGCUUUUAGGUUGACCUUAGUUGAGCAAGAAAACCAAUGGUGUUUCUGGGUGUGCUCUGUUUUUUUUAGUAGUCCUUGGUGCGUGUUCAGAGUUUUCUUUUUUUACGUCUCAAAAUUGACUGGGGACUGGAAUGUUUGAAAAAUAUCUUCUUGGAGACUCGUUCCUUGCUUCUGUUAUAGAUUGUAGGUAGUUGCAUGGAGACAUGGAACCUUAUAGUGAGUUCCCUCAUGCACGGAAAUCUUUGUAGUGUUGUACUGUAAUCUCACAUGCACAGAGAACUUCACAUUUUAUGUAUCAGGCAUGUAGUGAUUGUUGUCUUCUUCAUUUCCUACUUGCAGGUCUAGUAACACUGCUUACUUGUGUAUCUCAGUAGCCUUCACCAGAAAUGUCUAGAUUAUACUACUUAUUUCUCUGCGUGGUUGAUUACUCUCUUCUUGUUCCUCUCUGUAUAUUUACUAUCCAAUGUUCAUGUUCGCAGCCAGUACAUCCAAUGUUCAUAUGCAUAGAGUGAAAAUGUCUCCACGUUAAUCUACAUUACUUUUCAACAUGGGGGUAAACCGUUUUUCCACUGCGUGAUCCGCUGUGACCUGGAGCCAAGCAAUGUUCUUCUCGAUAAUGAAAUGACUGCUCACGUAAGUGAUUCUGGUUUGGCAAGGCUGGUGUCGAGGUUGGGUAAAGAUCAUGCGAAUUAAUGUAGCUCUCUCGGUAUUGAGGGUACCACAGGACAUCAGCUCCAGAAUGGCAGGCAUGGGAGCCGAGCUAUCUAGUCUCAGAGACGUGUACAGCUAAGGAAUGCUCUUGCUCUGGAGAAGACCUACCAGCGAAUCAUUCCGAGAUGAAUUGAAGCUGCACAAGCAUGCUAAGAUGGCAUUGCCUUACUGCAUCCUAGAGUUGUGGACCGAAUGACCCUGCAAGAGGUCCUGGAAGAAGUAGAAGACAUUUGCAAUUCCUAUGUCGGCAACUCAGCAAGCAAGCAAAAAUCGAAUCUUUGCUCACCGUACUUAAAGUUGGAGAGGCAUGCUCAGAAGAAUCACCUCGAGAAAGAAUGAACACGAGAGCCGUGGUACUGAAUUUGCUUUCAAUCUGAGAUGAAUGUAUCUUGGAACUGAAGUGCAAGGUAGCUCCUGACAUGGAUAAUGCCAAUUUAAGUGUUCCUCAUUCA